rnacentral:misc_RNA from 1 species
AAGUCGUAACAAGGUUUCCGUAGGUGAACCUGCGGAAGGAUCAUUAUCAACGUAUCCACGUUUAUAAACCAAAUUCGUGAACUGUUUGCUUUAACCUUUGGGCUAUUGGCCGCUGUCUAUGACGUCAAACUCAUUGUAUGGUUAUGGGUUUGUCAUGUGACAAUUUAAGGCUGUUUCUCCAAAGUGUAUUAACCAUACGUUAAUUCUACUAUUAACCACUUGAACCCCUUUUAUUUUUAUUCUUUGUUUGAACUGAUUUGUUUCUUACUCAGCGCUCUCUCUUCUGAGAGUGCCGAGAAGAAAUCGAAUUACGAAACAAAAAAAAGAACAACUCUUAGCAACGGAUAUCUUGGUUCUCGUAACGAUGAAAAACGCAGC